UGGGAUGACGUCAAUCAUCAUGCCCCUUAUGACCUGGGCUACGACACGUGCUACAAUGGUUGGUACAACGAGUUGCGAGUCGGUGACGGCGAGCUAAUCUCUUAAAGCCAAUCUCAGUUCGGAUUGUAGGCUGCAACUCGCCUACAUGAAGUCGGAAUCGCUAGUAAUCGCGGAUCAGCACGCCGCGGUGAAUACGUUCCCGGGCCUU
rnacentral:rRNA from 1 species